rnacentral:rRNA from 1 species
UGCAAGUCGAACGCUUCUUUCCUCCCGAGUGCUUGCACUCAAUUGGAAAGAGGAGUGGCGGACGGGUGAGUAACACGUGGGUAACCUACCCAUCAGAGGGGGAUAACACUUGGAAACAGGUGCUAAUACCGCAUAACAGUUUAUGCCGCAUGGCAUAAGAGUGAAAGGCGCUUUCGGGUGUCGCUGAUGGAUGGACCCGCGGUGCAUUAGCUAGUUGGUGAGGUAACGGCUCACCAAGGCCACGAUGCAUAGCCGACCUGAGAGGGUGAUCGGCCACACUGGGACUGAGACACGGCCCAGACUCCUACGGGAGGCAGCAGUAGGGAAUCUUCGGCAAUGGACGAAAGUCUGACCGAGCAACGCCGCGUGAGUGAAGAAGGUUUUCGGAUCGUAAAACUCUGUUGUUAGAGAAGAACAAGGACGUUAGUAACUGAACGUCCCCUGACGGUAUCUAACCAGAAAGCCACGGCUAACUAC